AACGUAGGGGGCGAGCGUUGUCCGGAAUUACUGGGCGUAAAGGGCGCGUAGGCGGUUAUCCAAGUCAGGGGUGAAAACUCUGGGCUCAACUCAGAGCCUGCCUCUGAAACUGGGUGACUUGAGGGCAGGAGAGGGGAGUGGAAUUCCCAGUGUAGCGGUGAAAUGCGUAGAUAUUGGGAGGAACACCAGUGGCGAAGGCGACUCUCUGGCCUGUUACUGACGCUGAGGCGCGAAAGCGUGGGGAGCAAACGGGAUUAGAUACCCCGGUAGUCCACGCCGUAAACGAUGGGUGCUAGGUGUAGGAGGUAUCGACCCCUUCUGUGCCGUAGCUAACGCAAUAAGCACCCCGCCUGGGGAGUACGGCCGCAAGGUUGAA
rnacentral:rRNA from 1 species